UGCCUCCUAGUGGGAGAGGAGGAAGAGAGUGAGGAGUCCUUCCCUUGAGGAGGUAGGAGGAAGAAAUAUGUGCAAUGAAUUGACCACAGCCCCCAUUCCCACACCCCUGCAUCACUCAGGGAGAAGAUAGAGGAGUCAGGAGUAAAAUUGAGGCCAGGAGGAAGGGAGGAGUGGGGGGAAGGCGUUUUAAGAUUCAGUUUUAUUUCCCAUUACAGUACUCUGUUUUG